rnacentral:rRNA from 1 species
GACAGAGGUGCCGAGCGUUAGGCGGAAUCACUGGGCUUAAAGCGUGUGUAGGCGGAUCGUUAAGUGCCUUGUGAAAUCCCACGGCUCAACCGUGGAACUGCUUGGCAUACUGGCGAUCUUGAGCCACUUAGGGGCUACCGGAACAAGUGGUGGAGCGGUGAAAUGCGUAGAUAUCAUUUGGAACGCCAAUGGUGAAAACAGGUAGCUGGGAGUGUGCUGACGCUGAGACACGAAAGCCAGGGGAGCAAACGGG